AGCUCCCUUCUCUCCCCAUCAGGGACCGGAAGCCAGCCAAGGAUCCCAGAGGUCUUGGCCCAAUUGCGGGCUUGAUGACCGGUCACCUUCCAGCCAUGUGAACUUGGCAGGUCUCUGAGCCUGUUUCCUUGGCUGUAACCCUCGUGUGGUUCUCAUGAUGAAAUCCUGGCAUCAGCGGCAUCAGCACCCACGGGGAACUGGUGACCGAUGCUUGCUCAAGUGUGACGAUCACUGGGAUAGAGAGAGGCUGAAACCGAUGGAGGUGCGCAAAGCCCCAGCACAACCCCGCAGUUGCUUGCAGCCUUCCCCGCCUCCGUGACUGGCAACUGCAUUCUUCCUGCAGACAAAAGGCCCAGAGUCCUCCCGGAUCAGGGUUCUCCAAACCCAAGCCUGCGGCGGAACCUUUGGUUCUCAUUAGGAGGUUAAAAACUUCUUGUUAUAAAAUAAAUACAUCACGGGGACGUAAAGCGCAGCGUAGGGAAUCUAGUCCAUAAUAGUGUCAUAAUGCCGUGCGGUGACAGAUGGUAAGUGGUCUUACGGUGAGCGGUUCGUAACGUGUAUAAAUGUCGGAUCACGACGCAUACACCUGAAACUCACAUAAUAUUGUGUGUCGACGAGACUUCAAUUAAAAAACACGUGUCUAAGGGUGCCCUUGCUCACCGCCUCCUCCACUCCCGCGGCACCGGCCUCCUCCGUCCUGCACUUGCUGUAAUAACUUUCCAGCCACCUCUGCCUUCGCCCCUGCAGCACCUCCUCACCCCUGCAGCCAGAGGAGCCUCUUAAAAAUGAAAUCAGAUUAUUCUACUCCUCUGCUCAGAACCUCCGACGAUUCCCAUCUCACUCUGCUGCCGGCCAGGCCCGACCCCCCUCCGGCCCCCCCAUCCCACUCCGCCCCCCCCCCCCCCCCCCCCCGCCAACACCCUCCCCUCCCCGGCUCUGCAGCAGCCCCUCCGACCUGCCAGACUCACUCCCACCCUGGGGCCUUGACUCCAGCCCUUUCCUCGGCCAUACACCCUUCUCUGGGUGUCCCCGCACGGCUCUCUUGCCCUCACCUCUAGAUCCUGUUCAAAUGUCACCACCUGAGAGAAGGCCUCUCUGACGCCAUUGUGUGCUGUCCCCUCCUCCCGCCCCUUUUUUUUUUUCCUCCAUAGCACUUACCACCACCUGACACACAUCUUUAUUGUUUCUCUGUUUAUUGUCUGCCUCUUCCCACUCGGACGCGAGGUCCGUGGGGCCAGGACCGCCUGUUUUGUUCACUGCUGUGUCUACAACGCCUGUAAUAUUGCCUGCACAGAACAGGCUCUUGGUAAAUGUUUGUCGAGUGGAUGAUUGAAUAAAUAAAUGAAUUGUUUUUUUU